AAAGGGAGACCUAAUUCAGGUAGGAGACGAAAAAAAAGUAGUCCCUACCAAGAAUCAAUCCCAAAAGGUCGGAGCGAGGCAAAAUUGGCUUUCAAACUAGGUUCUGGGUUCACACAAGACCUGAAUCAGGAACAAGGGCUAUUAGCUCAGGUGGUUAGAGCGCACCCCUGAUAAGGGUGAGGUCCCUGGUUCGAGUCCAGGAUGGCCCACCUGUACAGGUGGCAAAAACAAAGAAAAGAAGCUCCGAAUCAGCACCUUAUCUUACUUAUAUAGUAAGAGAGAAUGCUGGCUCUGAGUAAAGAGUCCAGAGGAACCUUGAAAACUGCAUAGAGCUAGGUGAAAAAGCCAAAAAAGAAGACCGCAAG
rnacentral:tRNA from 1 species